rnacentral:rRNA from 1 species
UUAAGCUACGAAGAGCGCAGGGAGAAUGCCUUGGCAUUGGGAGCCGAAGAAGGACGCGGUAAGCUGCGAAAAGCUGCGUGGAGCCGCAAGCAGGCUGUGAUACGCAGGUGUCCGAAUGGAGCAAUCCUUGCAGAGUAAUAUCUGCAAAUCAUAUACUGAAUACAUAGGUAUAUGAGGGGAACCGCCUGAACUGAAACAUCUAAGUAGGGCGAGGAAGAGAAAUCAAAAGAGAUUCCGAAAGUAGUGGCGAGCGAAAUCGGAAGAGGCCAAACCGGGAGCAGCAAUGCUUCCGGGGUUGAGGACUGCAUUUAGCAUCGGAUGAAUCUAACAGAAGCGGAUGGGAAGCCGCACCGGAGAGCGUGAGAGUCGCGUACGUGAAAGAUGAAUCCGGCGAGCAGUAUCCAGAGUACCGCGGGACACGAGGAAUCCCGUGGGAAGCCGGGGGGACCACCCUCCAAGCCUAAAUACUACCCAAUGACCGAUAGCGAAGAGUACUGUGAAGGAAAGGUGAAAAGAACCCCGGGAGGGGAGUGAAAAAGAACCUGAAACCCUGUGCUUACAAGCACCGAGAGCACGUCAAAGUGUGAUCGGGUACCUUUUGUAGAAUGGUCCGGCGAGCGUAUGCAGCGUGCAAGGUUAAUGACUUAAGGUCAGGAGCCGAAGGGAAACCGAGUCUGAAAAGGGCGACAAGUACGUUGCAUAGGGCCCGAAACCGGGUGACCUAUCCAUGUCCAGGCUGAAGUGGGAGUAAAAUCCCAUGGAGGGCCGAACCGACCCCCGUUGAAAAGGUGGCGGAUGAGGUGUGGAUAGCGGAGAAAUUCCAAUCGAACCCGGAGAUAGCUGGUUCUCCCCGAAAUAGCUUUAGGGCUAGCCUCAUAAGAGAUUACCGGAGGUAAAGCACUGACUGGACGAGGGGCCGAGAGGUUACCAACUCCUAUCAAACUCUGAAUGCCGGAUAAUUGAUUUAUGGGAGUCAGACUGCGUGAGAUAAGUUUCGCAGUCAAAAGGGAAACAGCCCAGACCCACAGCUAAGGUCCCCAAAUAGGUUUAAGUGGAGAAGGAUGUGGGGUUGCGAAAACAACCAGGAUGUUGGCUUAGAAGCAGCCAUACAUUUAAAGAGUGCGUAAUAGCUCACUGGUCGAGUGACCCUGCGCCGAAAAUUCAACGGGGCUCAAAACCUAUACCGAAGCUUGGGCUUUUAGAAGUUAGAAAUUAGAGGUUAGAGGUUAGAUGAUGUAUGAUUCAAAGUUUCAGAGAUUUGAAAGUAUAUGAAAAAUCAAUGGAAAUGGUUGAAGAAGUAUAUCGUCUGACAAAAAGAUUUCCGAAAGAAGAACAAUUUGCGCUUACAAGCCAGAUAACAAGAGCUUGUGUGUCAAUACCUGCGAAUAUAGCGGAAGGAUACGCCAAAAAGGAAAGCAUAGCUGAAUUUAAAAGGUUUUUGCUUAUGGCGGGAGGUUCUGCAAAUGAAAUGCAAGUGUUGAUAGAAGUAAGUGUAAGGCUUGGAUAUGUUGAAAAAGAACAUGGAGCGGAAUUGAUAAAGGGAUAUGAGGAAAUCGGAAAAAUGAUAGGCGGAUUGAUUAAGGCAUGGAAAUAAUCAGUCUAAUAUCUAACAUCUAAUUUCUGACUUCUAAAGGGGUAGGGGAGCGUUGUAUGCGGGGUGAAGUCAUAGCGUAAGCGGUGGUGGACUGCAUACAAGUGAGAAUGCCGGAAUGAGUAGCGAGAAUUAUGUGAGAAUCAUAAUGGCCGAAAGUCUAAGGUUUUAGGAGGAAGGUUCGUCCGCUCCUAGUAAGCCGGGAGCUAAGGUGAGGCGGAAACGCGUAACCGAUGCACAUACGGUUGAAAUUCCGUAGCCUCCAAAAGAUUUAAGCACAAGGACACUUUGAAAGCCGUAAAGCCGGGCGAUGGUUGACCCGGUCGAAAGGGACCGAAAUUUAGUAGGGAAGUUACGGUGGACGAAGGCGAGAAAAGUUGUGUGUAUAUCUGAGGAGCCCGUACCGCAAACCGACACAGGUAGAUAGGAAGAGAAUUCUAAGGCCAACGGGAGAAGGGUUGUUAAGGAACUCGGCAAGUUGACCCCGUAACUUAGGGAGAAGGGGUGCUCCGGAAACGGAGCCGCAGAGAAUAGGCCCAGGCGACUGUUUAGCAAAAACACAGCUCUAUGCUAAAUCGAAAGAUGACGUAUAUGGGGUGACGCCUGCCCGGUGCUGGAAGGUUAAGAGGAGAUGUGCAAGCAUUGAAUUGAAGCCCCAGUAAACGGCGGCCGUAACUAUAACGGUCCUAAGGUAGCGAAAUUCCUUGUCAGGUAAGUUCUGACCCG